UGGACUUGACCAGGCAAAUAAGGACUAAUGCUCAUUGAACAUAUGGCUGUACUGCUUAAUGUGAAGGUCCUCCUCUGAUAAGAAGUAAUUUUGAGCAGCUGGGUAGACUUGGACUUGGUACAUCCUCCAGGGAAAGAAGAGUGAAAAUUCAUGACAAGACUGAAAUUGCAAUUAACUGGAUGAUUGGUUCCCACAAAGAAUGGAGAUAAAAGAGGAAUAUCAGGCCAGUUACCUGGUGUUGAGGCAGCUAAGGAAGCAACCUACCCAAAGGAGAACCUGGCCCACAUGGGACCAUGAAAGGACAGGAGGCCACCAAGUGUGGCUGAACUCUGCUCUUGUGCUGCCAGGGGAGGCAAAAAGGUUGGAAGGUGCCCCAUGGACCCCUUUGGAGAAUUCACUCAAGGAAGAGGGAGUUCU